rnacentral:rRNA from 1 species
UACGUAGGGUGCAAGCGUUAAUCGGAAUUACUGGGCGUAAAGCGUGCGCAGGCGGUUUUGUAAGUCAGAUGUGAAAUCCCCGGGCUUAACCUGGGAACUGCGUUUGAAACUACAAGGCUAGAGUGUGGCAGAGGGGGGUGGAAUUCCACGUGUAGCAGUGAAAUGCGUAGAGAUGUGGAGGACCACCAAUGGCGAAGGCAGCCCCCUGGGUUAACACUGACGCUCAGGCACGAAAGCGUGGGGAGCAAACAGG